UACCCUGAACCAAUGCAAGUUCUGGUGAUUUCAUGCUUCAAAUUUUGACUGUGGUAUGAUCAGAAUCUGGUUAUCUGCAAGACUACCAUGAAGAAUCAUACACUCGGGUUUGGCGAAUGUAUCUAGCAUGGGAAGGUCCCAUUUUCAUCUUUUAGGUGUGUGAGGAGUUUGCUCAGAGGGGGUGAGGAAAAGGAAAAGCAGUUGUAAUUAUAAAUUGACCUUGUGUUUUUUCUGAUCUUUUCUGAUUUAUCAAAGGCUAAUGUGUUCCGUUGUGC